UAAAAUCUUCAGAAGGAAAGGAGAAUGUUUUGUGGACCAUUUUUUUUUUUGUGUG
rnacentral:miRNA from 1 species